rnacentral:rRNA from 1 species
CCCUUAGAUGUCCUGGGCCGCACGCGCGCUACACAGAGUGUCUGAGAUACGAGUCUGCCUGGUCCGGCAAGGUCUAGGUAAUCGCUAAAAGACACAUCAUGCUUGGGAUAGAUUAUUGCAAAUAUUAAUCUUGAACGAGGAAUUCCUAGUAAGCGCAAGUCAACAGCUUGCGUUGAUUACGUCCCUGCCCUUUGUACACACCGCCCGUCGCUACUACUGAUUGGAUGUUUAAGCGAGGUUCUCGAACUGCUAGCGACUUAGCUUCGGUGAGGUCGCAGUGUGGGAAGUGAACCUAGCUUUGGUGUCUAGAGGAAGUAAAAGUCGUAACA